rnacentral:rRNA from 1 species
AUACGGAGGAUCCGAGCGUUAUCCGGAUUUAUUGGGUUUAAAGGGUGCGCAGGCGGGAGAUUAAGUCGGCGGUGAAAUUUUGCAGCUCAACUGUAAAAGUGCCUUCGAAACUGGGUUCCUUGAGUGUAGAUGAAGUAGGCGGAAUUUGUGGUGUAGCGGUGAAAUGCAUAGAUAUCACGAGGAACUCCGAUUGCGCAGGCAGCUUACUAAACUACUACUGACGCUCAGGCACGAAGGCGUGGGGAUCAAACAGGAUUAGAUACCCUGGUAGUCCACGCAGUAAACGAUGAUUACUAGCUGUUUGCGAUACAAUGUAAGCGGCUGAGCGAAAGCGUUAAGUAAUCCACUUGGGGAGUACGUUCGCAAGAAUGAAACUUAAAGGAAUUGACGGGG